AGGGAUGGAGCUGGGUUACAGCCUGCCGAGGAGAGUCUCACCUUCCCCCGGGGCUUGCCUAGUGAGGCGGCGGCGAGCGGUACUUCGCCUGCUGCACCUGAAUCUAGUGGAAUCAGUCAUGAAGUGACCCUGAUGGAAUGGAACCAUGCCAGCAAAAGGUCAAAGUACUCAGCAAGUAUAAGAGGAAUGUGCAAAAAGGGCAAUUUAACACCUCUUGGAGUCAGCCAUUUGACUUCUGAACAUGAACUCAGCUUUUCAUGUGACUCUUUACUGUGCUUUAUGACUUUAGAAGAGAGAGACACAGUCCUUCCACACAGACAGCUUUAAGUCAUGAUGUCUCCUUUAUUGAUAUCAAAGAUAAAGAGGAGCAAAAUGCAUUCAGAAGAAUCAUACAAAGGUUCUUAUCCAGCAGAGAGACUGAUGGUCUGUCUCUGCUUUCAGGUUGAAACUGAUGCCAGGGAAUGGAAGUCAGUGUAGAAGCAGGCCUGAGUAGGGCUGAGAUGACCUAUAACAACAGUUGCAAAGAAGAGCCCCUACAGCUGCAGAGAAGUCAAAGGUGUUUGCUUUUCAUUUUUUAAAGUUAUUUUAUACUUGUCCAUGAUAAUCAUGCAUUAUUAAAAUGUCAAUGGGAAAUGUCUUCUUAAAUGAAUUCAUGUUAAUAACUAGUCAUAAUAUUUUGAAAGACAAUAAUUCGUUCCCAUAUAAUCUCUGCUGCACUUUGUUUGGCACAGAGGUUACCUCUAAAAAACUGCUUUACAGGUAGAGGCUCGUGCUCUUGGUGGGGAAAAAGUCAGCCCCCC